rnacentral:rRNA from 1 species
GAUGAACGCUAGCGGCAGGCUUAAUACAUGCAAGUCGUGGGGCAGCAUGGUGUAGCAAUACACUGAUGGCGACCGGCAAACGGGUGCGGAACACGUACGCAACCUUCCUUUAACUGGAGAAUAGCCCGGCGAAAGCCGGAUUAAUACUCCGUAACAUUGUGGAGUGGCAUCACUCUAUAAUUAUAGCUCCGGCGGUUAAAGAUGGGCGUGCGUCUGAUUAGGUAGUUGGCGGGGUAACGGCCCACCAAGCCUACGAUCAGUAACUGGUGUGAGAGCACGACCAGUCACACGGGCACUGAGACACGGGCCCGACUCCUACGGGAGGCAGCAGUAAGGAAUAUUGGUCAAUGGACGCAAGUCUGAACCAGCCAUGCCGCGUGGAGGAUGAAGGUCCUCUGGAUUGUAAACUUCUUUUAUUUGGGAAGAAACCCCCGAUUUCCAUUGGGGUUGACGGUACCAGAUGAAUAAGCACCGGCUAACUCCGUGCCAGCAGCCGCGGUAAAGUAUCG